AUGUCCCAGUGUCCCUAUGCUCCUGUGUGCUCGGGUGACUGGACUUUGACAGCAGGACGGCACAACUGCGGCGGCUACAAACCAUCCCCAGGUGUGAAGUGUGAGACACUGACACAGCCAACCUCUGUGACUGUGCAGCCAGGACACACUCUCACCAUCCCCUGUACUGUCUCAUAUGAUGUUACGCUUUCUGGUGGCUACUUCACAGCAUGGAUCAGACAGCCUGCUGGGAAAGCAAUGGAGUAUAUUGGAUAUCACUGUGCUGGAUGUACUAUUGUACUCAAAGAUUCACUGAAGAACAAGUUCAGUAUAAAUGUAGAUUCGUCCAGUAACACAGUGACUCUGAAUGGACAGAACAUGCAGCCUGGAGACACUGCAGUGUACUACUGUGCCAGACAACGCUCUGCACAGUGA